GACGAACGCUGGCGGCGUGCCUAACACAUGCAAGUCGAACGAAGUAUGUUUUUCGGAAUGUACUUAGUGGCGGACGGGUGAGUAACGCGUGAAUAAUCUGCCCCAUACAGGGGGAUAGCCUCGGGAAACCGGGAUUAAAACCUCAUAAUACCAUGGUAUCACAUGAUGCAAUGGUCAAAGAUUUAUCGGUAUGGGAUGGGCCUGCGUCUGAUUAGCUGGUUGGUGGGGUAACGCCUACCAAGGCAACGAUCAGUAGCCGACCUGAGAGGGUAAUCGGCCACAUUGGAACUGAGACACGGUCCAAACUCCGUACGGGAGCAGCAGGUGGGGAAUAG
rnacentral:rRNA from 1 species